rnacentral:rRNA from 1 species
AGUCAGGGGGAAUCCUCCCUUCGGGGAGGUAGUACACCGGCGCACGGGUGAGUAACGCGUGAGUGACCUACCCAUUAGACCUGGAUAACCCGGCGAAAGUUGGGCUAAGACAGGAUGUGUUAAUAUACUUCAUGGUGUAUUAAUAAAGGCAGGUUUCGGCUUGUGCUAAUGGAUGGGCUCGCGUAUGAUUAGCUAGUUGGUAAGGUAAAGGCUUACCAAGGCGACGAUCAUUAGGCGGCCUGAGAGGGUGGUCGCCCACACUGGAACUGAGACACGGUCCAGACUCCUACGGGAGGCAGCAGUGGGGAAUUUUGCGCAAUGGGCGAGAGCCUGACGCAGCGACGCCGCGUGGACGAGGAAGGCCUUCGGGUCGUAAAGUCCUUUUUUACGGGAAGAAAGGUAUUGACAGUAACUGGUUAAUAUUUGACGGUACCGUAAGAAUAAGCCCCGGCUAACUCCGUGCCAGCAGCCGCGGUAAUACGGAGGGGGCGAGCGUUGUUCGGAAUUACUGGGCGUAAAGCGUACGUAGGCGGCGUGGUAAGUCGGAGGUUAAAGGCUACGGCUCAACCGUAGUAGGGCCUUUGAUACUAUCAUGCUAGAGUGUCGGAGGGGGUAGCGGAAUUCCCUGUGUAGCGGUGAAAUGCGUAGAUAUAGGGAAGAACACCAGUAGCGAAGGCGGCUACCUGGCCGAUCACUGACGCUGAGGUACGAGAGCGUGGGUAGCAAACAGGAUUAGAUACCCUGGUAGUCCACGCUGUAAACGAUGGACGCUAGGUGUUG